GGGUGAGUAACGCGUGGGUAACUGCUCAUACAGGGGGAUAGCAGCUGGAAACGGCUGGUAAUACCGCAUAAGCGCACAGUACCACAUGGUACAGUGUGAAAAACUCCGGUGGUAUGAGAUGGACCCGCGUCUGAUUAGCUGGUUGGCGGGGUAACGGCCCACCAAGGGCGACGAUCAGUAGCCGGCUGAGAGGGUGACCGGCCACAUUGGGACUGAGACACGGCCCAAACUCCUACGGGAGGCAGCAGUGGGGAAUAUUGCACAAUGGGGGAAACCCUGAUGCAGCGACGCCGCGUGAAGGAAGAAGUAUCUCGGUAUGUAAACUUCUAUCAGCAGGGAAGAUAGUGACGGUACCUGACUAAGAAGCCCCGGCUAACUACGUGCCAGCAGCCGCGGUAAUACGUAGGGGGCAAGCGUUAUCCGGAUUUACUGGGUGUAAAGGGAGCGUAGGCGGCGGAGCAAAGUCAGAAGUGAAAGCCCGGGGCUUCAAACCCCGGGACGGCUUUUGAAACUGCCCUGCUUGAUUUCAGGAGA
rnacentral:rRNA from 1 species